rnacentral:rRNA from 1 species
CACGGGGGGGAGCAAGCGUUGUUCGGAAUCACUGGGCGUAAAGGGCGUGUAGGCGGUUUGGUAAGUGAGAUGUGAAAUGCUUCGGCUCACCCGAAGACCUGCAUCUCAAACUGCCGGACUAGAGUAUGGGAGAGGACAAGGGAAUUCCUGGUGUAGCGGUGAAAUGCGCAGAUAUCGGGAGGAACACCCGUAGCGAAGGCGGCACUCUGGGCCGGAACUGACGCUGAGGAGCGAAAGCGUGGGGAGCAAACAGG